rnacentral:lncRNA from 1 species
UAUUUUUUUCUUCAACGUAGAAAACAAGUAAAACAAUAACAUUUAAAUGAACCUUCAUUUAUAAAAAAUCAAACGUAAUACAUUGCAUAGUUCAAUUGUUUUUAAUAUAACCUUACGAAUAUACGUAAACCAUGAUUGGCACUCUAUACUUAUUGAUAAAUACCUGCAUUUAUCUCACAUAAAUAUAUAAGUGAAACUGUACAUGAAAAAAUCUUAUAGACCUUUUUGGAGGAAAUAAGUAUAUCGUCGCUGGGCUUCCAAAAAUGUCGUAUAUGACUUUUUGGCUAAAAAUACUUUUUGACACCAAUGGUCUAGGUCGGAGGAAAUCUUUGGUUUUACAAAAUAGCAUACAGUUAGACCAAUCAAAACGCUUGAAAUAGGACAUAUUACAAAUUUGGCAAUGUCAGUUGUUUGUAAAGUUUGCUUGCAAAAUGUGGUAUGAAAUCUUGAAAAUCGUUUUAUAGUGGACUUUGGGAAUGAAAUAAUUGUAAUUUCUUUAUUUCUGUGAAAAUAAUUCAAGUUCUUGGAUAAUUCAGAAAUGUCAGUUUUUAAUUCACUGCUAUUUGCAAAAAUGUUCAAGUUCACCUACGACAUUUUGGAAGCAUGUAUUUUGUCAAAAUUUUCAAAGUCUGUUUGUUAGAUAUUUUUUUCUUGAUUUUUUUUAAUUUACAACGUCUUAGAAGCCCAGUGACGAUAUAUGUAAUAUAUGCAAGGGGAAUGCAUUUAUUAUAAUUAACAUUACGUAUCAUAUAGUAGAUUAACAAUAUGUAUUGAUUCGGAAUAUUUGCGGAGUAUACUUUCUUUUGACUUCAUAGCUUUUUUGGUAUUUAUCGUUAACAUGAUAACAAUAAAAGUAUGUGUGCAUAAAACAACUAGCUCUUCUCACACUUAUACAUUUUCCUGUUAAAUGAAACAAUAAAUCUGGGUUUUUGACCAUGGGAAAACAUCCGUUUAACAAAGUUCAAAUUAAAAUACCAUUAACAUAAACUUGAUUUUUCUACACAGUCAAUAUAUACAUUCAUAACAAACAAAAAACCUUUAUCCUGACAAUGGACGGACAUACGAUCAAUCCGGACAGAUAUAAUGAUCUCAACAAUUGACGGACAUACGAACAAUCCGGACAGAUAUAAUGAUCUCAACAAUUGCAAUAGUAUAAAUACUCAAAUAAAUCUGUUAUGUAAAAUGCUUCCAAUAAUAUUAAAACAGUAUGUCUGAAUAGCACUAAUCAUAUGGCACUUUAUUUCUAAAUUUUGUCUCACUUUUCCAUGGGAAAUUUUUUAAUUGUGUAUUUCAAAUUUUACUAUUCAAGAAACUAGUUUGAAAAAUAAAAAUACAAAACAUAUUUCAAAAAUCACUUGCAAGAUCCCUGAUUGAAGAUUUCCGAAAACACAUUUCGUUUAGAAAAUAAAUGACCUUCUAAAUAAUGAAUCGCAAAUAAAAGUAAUAGAUAUUUAUUGUAAUGACUAAAACUAACUGUAAGAUAUUAUAUAAAAAAUUGUGACAGGC